UACUCUUCCAUCUGUAGAAUGUGGAUACAUGUUAAUGCUCUAACCUUCAGGCAUCCUUGAGUCUGGGGUUUUCUGCUGGGAUCUGGCCUCCAGCAACUUCCGGGAAGCCACAUUUGGAAGAGCGGCCAUGGGCCGGGCAGCUAAGGCAUGGAAGGAUGUGGAAGGUUCAGGAUCUUGGCGGCAAGUCUGGGGUCCUUGCAGAGGAAGGAGUUGAUCGAAUGCAAGUCCAGGACUGAAUCUUUGUUAAAGGAAUAAGGACAGAGAAUUCAUCUCCAGGGUCCAAGUACUUGUUCUGAGCAAAUGAUACAUCGUAAUUAAACACUAAUAUAUGAAGCACCCAGAGUUUAAAAUGAUUUUCGACAGUUAAUUCUAAUUAGCAUGUGAAGACCAUAAGGGCAAGAAUCAUUAUCCACUCAAGCAGUCCACAGAGGCUGCCCCGGGCCACAGGGUCACCUUGUACAUCUGCCCAGACCCUCCGGAUCCUUCCUUCUCCAGAGCCAGCAGAGCUGGAGGAUGCACGGAGACGCACGGGCAUGCUGACAACACCUCGCACCAAGGGGACUGUGGUGGUGGAGCUGAGACGUGCGCAGCGACAGAAGUCCUGGGCUGUUUCACUCUUCCCGCUCUUCUGGAAGCCUUCCGUGGGAGGUUUUAUCGCAAUACUGCUAUUCACUGAAAGCGUGUCCUGAGUAACAAGAAAACCCUGCUACAUGUCGCUGGCACUAGGACACGGGUUGCACUAACACCCAGUGGUCUGUUAUCAGGUGUAGCAGAUAAGGGUGGGCCCUCGGAGCCCCAUCAGCGGGAUUCAAAUCCCAGCUCUGCCCGCUCUGGGCUGUGACUUUUUGGGCACGUUUCAUUAUCCUGGGUCCCAGGUCCUCAACCAAAAAAUGGGGACAGGAGAAGGGCCCUGUCUCGUAGGACUGUUACCAUGAUGAAAUUGUACCAAUAAAUGUCCUGAGCUUAGCUUACUGAUACUCAGCAACUUUUUCAUGUGGACUGAUAGCAUGACUGGCUGAGCUUAGGAAUAGGAAUUCAGAGAGGAAGGAACUUCUCCAACGCCGGCCUGGUCGCCUCAGUCUGGGAGCUUCCCAAGGAGGGUUUGUAGACAGGCUUGACUUGAUGUAAAUUGCUGCUGUGGGGUCCAAUGAAGGCUGAAGCUAUUUGCAAUGUACCGUGUAGCCACUGGAAGUGUCCAUAGCUUCCUACAGGACACUGCGCUGCGUCACGUUCCCGUGAGUAGGGGAGCCGAGCGCCAGUCUGUGUGGGUUAUAUCUGGAAUGAUCCAACUUCAGGUGGAACUCAACUUGCUUAGGGACUUCGGAUGAAGAUGGACAACAGGUCCCUGACACAGACCCUGGCUGGCCACUGCUCCGACUCUUAGUUCCACAUGUGUGCACGUGAUUUAUUAAGUCUGUAAUGCAAUCAGUAUUUGUUAGAGUAAAUAACAUCCAUUUCAAUUUCUGCUGAGGAAUGACCUUCUGUUGUCCUAACAGAUGCUGCCCGGAGCGUAGGCACAUAGAUCUCCAGGUACCGGGGGUGUCGCCAGUAUCCCUAAUGUUAAUGCAACACGACAUGGGUAAGAUGAGUGGCCGCGUGUACGAAGUGGCAGGAAGGAAUGUGUGAAAUGCAGCUGCUUUAUUGGGACAACUUUCCCUUCCAUUGAGUUAACUGCAGAGGCUUUUCAAGUUGUGCAAAAAGACCAAAUAAAAUCCAAUAUGCUUUGGGGAAAACAGGGAUACGAAUUAAGCAUCUCUUCUCUUAGUAAAAACAUUCUGAUUAUAAAAGGCUACAUGCCUUCUGACCACUGAGACAGAAGCCACACUUCCUACCUUGGCCCACGGAGUUCACUGUUGCUACUUCGUCUCGGUUCCAGCCACCGCGGCCUUCUGCAAACAGUCAAGCUUUUCCACCUUGUGUGUCUGCGGCCCCUUGUGUGUCUUGGAGACACCUGGUCCUCACUGCCUAUGUCAUGGUCAUUGCCAUCUCUCAGGAAGUCCAGUGGAAUUGCAGAGUCUCAGUGCUGUGAAUGGGAUGUGUCUCCAGUGUCUCUUCCACGGCACCCACGGGGGCAUCGCGCACGGCCUGGGGCCUCCAUGGUCAUCGGCCUGAACCUGCUCUUGCUGUCAUUGACUCAUGUCGCAUUUUAAGGCUGAUAAAAGCAUGAAAUGAAAUAUGCUCUGCUCCAGCUCCUGUUCUCAAGAAAAAUAUUUCAACCUCGCCGUUGGUUAGGGCUUUAUUGAUUCUGAAUUGGAGUGAGGUGGGAAACAGGAGUGUACUACGGGUUUGAUCUGAGAACGUGGGGGAGCCAAUCUAUCUAAAUCAGGGCUGUGCCUUCUUCCCAACUCAAAACUCGUUAGCAUAUCGAGAGAGACAGUUCUCCAGUCUCUCUUUCUCUUACUCUGACAAACCCACUCUGGUGGUGCUUGUCUCUCCAUGUGUCUCCCAAGACUGUCGGAUUUCUGGUCUCCUGUUGAGUUGGGCUGCUGGUGACUGGACAGCCGUGGCUGGCGAUGUCACUGCAGGGCGUCCACGCUCUGUCUCCAUGACGAGGCCUGACACUCCGCUCUGCUUCUCCCUUUUGCUUAGAAGAACGAGGGAGGGAAUGUCUACAGGAAAACCAUCACACUUGAGGGGAUGGGCAGGCUACUGCAUGAGAACAUUAAAGAAAUGCAUCCAUUAAUGAUUGAGUGACUGUGGACAUCUCACUGUGGGUGUUAAUGGGUGCUGUGGAUGGAGUACCAGAAGCCUCUUCAUCCAGGUCUGGUAAGGGGCACGUAAGGGUGCUCCUGGAGCUUGAGUAGGAUUCAGAAGUCCUAUUUCACCUGGAGGUAGUGGGAAUGAUGCUGACAAGGAGGGCUAGCUCAGCUCAUGUGUGUCGAGCACUGGGUUCAGCUAUUACCUGUCUGACCUUGGUUUACUCUUCCAAGGAGACAGUUACCAUUCUUAGUCCAUUUUAGAGAACAGGAUAUCUAAAAUUGAAGAAUCAGACAACUUACACGAAAUGGCAAAGAAGUGAAGCAAUGGAUCUGAAACUGAAGCCCAGGUCUGCCUGAUGAAGGAGUCUGUCCAAAUUCACCAUCAUGGUGUCUCAGGUCAAGGCAUUGAAGGGUAAUUCUGGAUUGUUUUGUUUUGUUUUGUUUUGCAUUAGGCAUCGUGGGAGACAAGUAUGGUGCUCUGGGCUAUUUGGUAGAAUCAGAUUAACUCCAGAAGGCACAUGGAGCGUCAGACACUUUGGGCAGCUGUGGCUGCUGCUACCACCUGCUAACCCAACAUGAGCUCCUGGGUGACCACUUCUCCACCGCCCCAGGUCACUUCAGGAGGAAUACAGGACAGAGUCUUACUCUGUGUUUGUAAUAGAGAACUCGUAUGGGGGAGAGUGGCAGGGAGCAGAUGUCACUUGGCCAGAUUAAAACAGGGCUAACGUGAGCAAUGUUGGCCUGUGAUUCCUAGAAGUCCUAUGUAAACCCCUCAGGGAAUCAUUGGUUUCAGGAGUAGAAAGUGAGGUUGGGAAAUGCUAAGAUCCUCGGGCAGAUGAGAUCUUGGAGGCUGACUCCUGGCCAAUGUUAGCCUGCAUAUUUUCAAGUUUAUUGUGUCAUACUGUUUGAAAUCAACAGGCUUACAAAGUGGUGAAUCUUUUGUGUUGCCUAUGAAUUCCCUAAAAAAUACCAAAUGCCUUUUGAAGUUGGGAACAUAUUACUGAAAAUUUGUUUCAAACAUUCUCUAACAGUUAGCAUAAACUGCACCGAGGAAGUGGCAGUUUUAUUUGGAUAGAAGUGAAAAGAUGGAGAAGGCAAGAUGGCAUCGGUCCGGCA